rnacentral:rRNA from 1 species
AGUCGAGGGGUAGAGUUCUUCGGAACUUGAGACCGGCGCACGGGUGCGUAACGCGUAUGCAAUCUACCUUUUACAGAGGGAUAGCCCAGAGAAAUUUGGAUUAAUACCUCAUAGUAUUAUGAAAUGGCAUCAUUUUAUAAUUAAAGUCACAACGGUAAAAGAUGAGCAUGCGUCCCAUUAGCUAGUUGGUAAGGUAACGGCUUACCAAGGCUACGAUGGGUAGGGGUCCUGAGAGGGAGAUCCCCCACACUGGUACUGAGACACGGACCAGACUCCUACGGGAGGCAGCAGUGAGGAAUAUUGGACAAUGGGCGCAAGCCUGAUCCAGCCAUGCCGCGUGCAGGAUGACGGUCCUAUGGAUUGUAAACUGCUUUUAUACGAGAAGAAACACUACUUCGUGAAGUAGCUUGACGGUAUCGUAAGAAUAAGGAUCGGCUAACUCCGUGCCAGCAGCCGCGGUAAUACGGAGGAUCCAAGCGUUAUCCGGAAUCAUUGGGUUUAAAGGGUCCGUAGGCGGUUUAAUAAGUCAGUGGUGAAAGCCCAUCGCUCAACGGUGGAACGGCCAUUGAUACUGUUAAACUUGAAUUAUUAGGAAGUAACUAGAAUAUGUAGUGUAGCGGUGAAAUGCUUAGAGAUUACAUGGAAUACCAAUUGCGAAGGCAGGUUACUACUAAUUGAUUGACGCUGAUGGACGAAAGCGUGGGUAGCGAACAGGAUUAGAUACCCUGGUAGUCCACGCCGUAAACGAUGGAUACUAGCUGUUGGGAGCAAUCUCAGUGGCUAAGCGAAAGUGAUAAGUAUCCCACCUGGGGAGUACGUUCGCAAGAAUGAAACUCAAAGGAAUUGACGGGGGCCCGCACAAGCGGUGGAGCAUGUGGUUUA